AGAGCGUACGGUGGAUGCCUUGGCACCAGGAGCCGAUGAAGGACGUAGGAGGCUGCGAUAAGCCUCGGGGAGCUGUCAACCGAGCUGUGAUCCGAGGAUGUCCGAAUGGGGAAACCCAGCACGAGUGAUGUCGUGUUACCCGCGCCUGAAUAUAUAGGGCGUGUGGAGGGAACGUGGGGAAGUGAAACAUCUCAGUACCCACAGGAAGAGAAAACAACCGUGAUUCCGUGAGUAGUGGCGAGCGAAAGCGGAAGAGGCUAAACCAUGGGUGUGUGAUAGCCGGCAGGUGUUGCAUUCGUGGGGUUGUGGGGUUCAUUUUGUCUGUUCUGCCGAGCAGGCCAACAGUAAGAAAUCACAGGGUUAGUGGAAGUGGUCUGGAACGGCCUGUCGUAGAGGGUGAGAAUCCCGUACACGAAAACUUUGUGACUGUUGUAAUGGAAACCCAAGUAGCACCGGGCCCGUGAAAUCUGGUGUGAAUCUGUCGGGACCACCCGAUAAGCCUGAAUACUCCCUGGUGACCGAUAGCGGACUAGUACCGUGAGGGAAAGGUGAAAAGUACCCCGGGAGGGGAGUGAAAUAGUACCUGAAACCGUGCGCUUACAAUCCGUCAGAGCCUUCGAGCAGUUUACUGCUGGGGGUGAUGGCGUGCCUUUUGAAGAAUGAGCCUGCGAGUUAGUGGCAUGUCGCGAGGUUAACCCGUGUGGGGUAGCCGUAGCGAAAGCGAGUCCGAAUAGGGCGAGUCAGUGGCAUGCUCUAGACCCGAAGCGGAGUGAUCUACCCAUGGCCAGGUUGAAGCGACGGUAAGACGUCGUGGAGGACCGAACCCACUUAGGUUGAAAACUGAGGGGAUGAGUUGUGGGUAGGGGUGAAAGGCCAAUCAAACUCCGUGAUAGCUGGUUCUCCCCGAAAUGCAUUUAGGUGCAGCGUCGCGUGUUUCUCACCGGAGGUAGAGCUACUGGAUGGUCUAGGGGGCCCACAAGCUUACCGAAAUCAGCCAAACUCCGAAUGCCGGUGAGUGAGAGCGCGGCAGUGAGACUGCGGGCGAUAAGGUUCGUAGUCGAGAGGGAAACAGCCCAGAUCGCCAGCUAAGGUCCCUAAGCGUGUACUAAGUGGAAAAGGAUGUGGGGUCGCGAAGACAACCAGGAGGUUGGCUUAGAAGCAGCCACCCUUGAAAGAGUGCGUAAUAGCUCACUGGUCAAGUGAUCCUGCGCCGACAAUGUAGCGGGGCUCAAGUACACCACCGAAGCUGCGGCAUUCACGCAAUAGCCCCCAGUUGAUCCAAGGAUUUUCUGGCAGGUGUGUGGAUGGGUAGGGGAGCGUCGUGUGGCCAUGGAAGCGGCAGGGUGACCUAGCCGUGGAGGCCACACGAGUGAGAAUGCAGGCAUGAGUAGCGAAAGACGAGUGAGAAACUCGUCCGCCGAAUGACCAAGGGUUCCUGGGCCAGGUUAAUCCGCCCAGGGUGAGUCGGGACCUAAGACGAGGCCGACAGGCGUAGCCGAUGGACAACGGGUUGAUAUUCCCGUACCCGUGUGAACGCGCCCAUGGUGAAUCAGUGAUACUAACCAUCCUGAAGCCACGAGAAGACCUUCGGGUCUCGAGUUGGUGGAUGCAUGGGACCUGAUCUGGUAGUAGCCAAGCGAUGGGGUGACGCAGGAAGGUAGCUGAGCCAGUCAGUGGUAAUACUGGUGUAAGCGUGUAGGGCGUGACCUAGGCAAAUCCGGGUCGCACAUAGCCUGAGACGUGAUGCGUAGCCGAUUGAGGCGAAUUCAGUGAUCCUAUGCUGCCGAGAAAAGCCUCUAGCGAGCUUUCACACGGCCCGUACCCCAAACCGACACAGGUGGUCAGGUAGAGAAUACUAAGGCGAUCGAGAUAACUAUGGUUAAGGAACUCGGCAAAAUGCCCCCGUAACUUCGGGAGAAGGGGGGCCCUGUCUGGUGACGACAUUUACUGUCUGAGCUGGGUGGGGCCGCAGAGACCAGUGAGAAGCGACUGUUUACUAAAAACACAGGUCCGUGCGAAGUCGUAAGACGAUGUAUACGGACUGACGCCUGCCCGGUGCUGGAAGGUUAAGAGGACCGGUUAGUUCCUUCGGGAGCGAAGCUGAGAAUUUAAGCCCCAGUAAACGGCGGUGGUAACUAUAACCAUCCUAAGGUAGCGAAAUUCCUUGUCGGGUAAGUUCCGACCUGCACGAAUGGCGUAACGACUUCUCAGCUGUCUCAACCGUAGACUCGGCGAAAUUGCAUUACGAGUAAAGAUGCUCGUUACGCGCGGCAGGACGAAAAGACCCCGGGACCUUCACUACAGCUUGGUAUUGGUGUUCGGUUCGGUUUGUGUAGGAUAGGUGGGAGACUGUGAAACGGUGACGCCAGUUAUCGUGGAGUCGUUGUUGAAAUACCACUCUGAUCGAAUUGGACCUCUAACCUCGGACCAUGAUCUGGUUCAGGGACAGUGCCUGGUGGGUAGUUUAACUGGGGCGGUUGCCUCCCAAAAUGUAACGGAGGCGCCCAAAGGUUCCCUCAGCCUGGUUGGCAAUCAGGUGUCGAGUGCAAGUGCACAAGGGAGCUUGACUGUGAGACUGACAGGUCGAGCAGGGACGAAAGUCGGGACUAGUGAUCCGGCACCGGCAAGUGGAAGCGGUGUCGCUCAACGGAUAAAAGGUACCCCGGGGAUAACAGGCUGAUCUUCCCCAAGAGUCCAUAUCGACGGGAUGGUUUGGCACCUCGAUGUCGGCUCGUCGCAUCCUGGGGCUGGAGUAGGUCCCAAGGGUUGGGCUGUUCGCCCAUUAAAGCGGCACGCGAGCUGGGUUUAGAACGUCGUGAGACAGUUCGGUCUCUAUCCGCCGCGCGCGUUAGAAACUUGAGGAAGGCUGUCCCUAGUACGAGAGGACCGGGACGGACGAACCUCUGGUGUGCCAGUUGUUCCGCCAGGAGCACCGCUGGUUAGCUACGUUCGGAAGGGAUAACCGCUGAAAGCAUCUAAGCGGGAAGCCUGUUCCAAGAUGAGGUUUCU
rnacentral:rRNA from 1 species